GGGGGGGGGGGGGGGGAAUGUGGUUUAAAGUGCUGCAAUGAUCUUCAGCGUUGCUCUGGAAACCAAGGAGAAACAACUGCACCCACUCAGCACGGGCUGGCCGGCCACAGCUGAGCCUCAUCAAGGGACAGCUAGAAAAGCUGCCAUGUCACACACACUGGUGAGACAUGUCUCCAAAAGACUCUGCUAUAACCGUUACUCUUCCUUUCUCCCAGAGAGCAGUGUGUGACUGGCCAGCCCCAGCAUGUGAGCAGAGCACAGACACCCAACAUUCGAAAGCACAGAGGACAGACUGUGGAGCACAGAGCACCAACACACCUCACCUGGACACAUUGACAUGAGUAGUGCCUUCAAUAAAUUCACCCUCUAGGGCCUUUAUUGAAUUCCCCUUGUCAUGUGAUUCUUCACCCCAUUACAAUAUCUGAAAUGAGAGUUUCCAGAACCAGCAUGAUGUUCUCUCAUCUGCGCCCUCUCCUCCUGUUUAUCCCAUGCUGUUUGUUUGGCGAUGAAAUGAAGUCAGUAUUGGUGACUGAGAGAGAUUCCAUCAUUCUAAAUACUGAUAUAAAAGUACAGACCAAAGAAAUGUUAUUGUGGUUGUUUGGAGCACAGGAGAGCAUUGCUGAAAUAUAUUACCAGAACAUGUUCAUGUAUGACAGUAAUAAGAGAUUUGGAGACAGACUCCAGGUGGACAAUCAAACUGGAUCUCUGACUAUCAGAAACAUCUGAACUGAACACUCUGGACUUUAUAAGCUACUGAUCCUCAGCAACAGAGAAAACUCAUACAAGCGAUUCAGUGUCAAUGUCUACACUCAUCUGUCUGUUCCUGUCAUCACUGCAAACUCUUCACAAUGAAGAACACUGAACAGUGCUGAGGCUCCCCCGACUACAGUGUACAACAAAACAUCUGAAUAUUCGAAAAAUUUGGUGAAACUGAUUACAGGGAUAUAACUAAAAACAGGACAAACUAACAAAAACAACUGCGGAUGACGCUAUGGAGGAGUGGGUGUGUUUUCACCAAAUACAACAUGUUUCUGGAUCAACAUCCCUAUUGAUCCUGGAGCAACAUUCCAAUCAACCAAUCAGAAUUGAGAUAUAACUUUUCAAGAAAUAUCUGUUUUAGGGUUAAAAUCAGGGUUAGGUGCUUUCUCACCCUUGUUAAUCAGCUAUCAUUUCCCACUGAUUUUAGGAAUAAAUAAUGGGUAGGGUUAGGUUUAGGAGUAGGGAUUGGGUUAAGUCUAUAUUUUUGGACAAUAAUGUUGAUCCAGGAACAUGUCUUACUUGGCAAAAUCAUGGCGACUGCCACGAGCGGAGCCAUCUUGGAUCAACCCAAGAUCAUUUAUUGUUCUCUCACACACUGAAGGGAUAGUAAUGAAUCACCAAAAGCAUAGAAUAAAAACAAUAACACAGCUAAAUUAACAGUAUGCAUAUAAAAUUGGAACUAUAUUUAAUACAAUAAAAUAUACAUUUCUACUAAAACAAUGUCACAAUGGUUUUUCAUGUGGGUUUGUUAUAAUAUUUUAAUUUGUUAUGAUUCUCUAAGGUAGAAGUUUAGUCACACUAUGUAUUGUGUAAAAUAUUUUAUAUCAAAAGUCAUUCAUUGUUAUAAUGUGAGUGUGAAGCAGCACAUGUUGGCGUUUCCGAGUCAGAUCUUGUGUUAUUGCGGUCAGUAAAUGUGUGUGAGCUGAAUGCAUGUGGCCUGAAAUGCUGAGAAGAUGUUCAGAUAAUGCACACAGUUUUAGACGGUGUGUGUUCUUGAGAAUGUGAGGGGCCAGUUUCAUCUCACAACUACAAAUAAAUCUUCUGAAAACCUGUUAGACUCAAACCUGUGAUAUAUAUAUCUGAAGUGAGAGUUUCCAGAACCAGCAUGAUGUUCUCUCAUCUGUGCGCUCUCCUCCUGUUUAUCUCGUGCUCUCAGUAACUUUUCAGCACAUAAAGAGUGUAUCAAGUAUCAAUCUCAUUGUAUUAUACAUGCCUAAGUACAUUAAAUAUAUUAAAUUCAUAAAAAAUAGUCUACAUAAUAAAACUGACCGGAGAUCAGUUGCUUGUUCAUGGUACUAAACAUACGUACUAAAACUUGAUGUUGUGCUAAAACAGAGUCAUUGAUUCAUUGAUCAGUGUUUGAUUCAUAUGUGGAUAUUUUACAAUUUAAAUACAGUAAUUUCUCAUUUAGAA